AUAUCCAAUACAUAAUUAUUGGUAAACGGAAUCUAAUCUUGGAACAUGAAUAUUGACAUUUAAUAAUUGAAAAGAAAAGAAAAAAAAUAAUAUAAUUAUUAAAAAAAAUUAUAUACAAACAUAGAAAAAGAAAAGUAUAUUCUUUCCAUCCACAUAGUUCGUCAAAAAUCUCGGUUUCAGUUUCCAAACUUCUUUAGAAAAAGAGAUUUACGACAAACCAUAUGAACGAAAACAAUAACUUACGCUACAAAAAUUAACCAUCCUCAGUAAAAACCAGAUUUCUUAUCAAGAUCUUUCUCUAUUGCCUUCGAUCGUGUUCAAAAACUUCAACCAGUUCAUGCUCAAUCUUCUUAAACAAUCCACCACCAAUACCAUUCUUACUAUGCCCAUACUGAAUCAUGGGAGCUUUAUUAAUAUCCAGAAAAUACAAAAUCACCACUGUAGCUACUGAACCAACAAACAUCGGAAUCGGACCAAAUAUCCACAGAAGCAAAGUGGUCGCAAAGUAGAGUGCUCGCAAUCCGAUAGCCCAGAAGUUACUACCUCUCAACACAGCCUUUUGGAUGCAAUCCACCGGAACAUCUCCAGUGGGCAUGCUUAUGAGGAAACACCCAUGAACAAAGUGUCUUGUGGUUUGUACAAAACAAG